rnacentral:rRNA from 1 species
GGUUAAGCGACUAAGCGUACACGGUGGAUGCCCUGGCAGUCAGAGGCGAUGAAGGACGUGCUAAUCUGCGAUAAGCGUCGGUAAGGUGAUAUGAACCGUUAUAACCGGCGAUUUCCGAAUGGGGAAACCCAGUGUGUUUCGACACACUAUCAUUAACUGAAUCCAUAGGUUAAUGAGGCGAACCGGGGGAACUGAAACAUCUAAGUACCCCGAGGAAAAGAAAUCAACCGAGAUUCCCCCAGUAGCGGCGAGCGAACGGGGAGCAGCCCAGAGCCUGAAUCAGUGUGUGUGUUAGUGGAAGCGUCUGGAAAGGCGCGCGAUACAGGGUGACAGCCCCGUACACAAAAAUGCACAUACUGUGAGCUCGAUGAGUAGGGCGGGACACGUGGUAUCCUGUCUGAAUAUGGGGGGACCAUCCUCCAAGGCUAAAUACUCCUGACUGACCGAUAGUGAACCAGUACCGUGAGGGAAAGGCGAAAAGAACCCCGGCGAGGGGAGUGAAAAAGAACCUGAAACCGUGUACGUACAAGCAGUGGGAGCCUCUUUUAUGGGGUGACUGCGUACCUUUUGUAUAAUGGGUCAGCGACUUAUAUUCUGUAGCAAGGUUAACCGAAUAGGGGAGCCGAAGGGAAACCGAGUCUUAACCGGGCGUUAAGUUGCAGGGUAUAGACCCGAAACCCGGUGAUCUAGCCAUGGGCAGGUUGAAGGUUGGGUAACACUAACUGGAGGACCGAACCGACUAAUGUUGAAAAAUUAGCGGAUGACUUGUGGCUGGGGGUGAAAGGCCAAUCAAACCGGGAGAUAGCUGGUUCUCCCCGAAAGCUAUUUAGGUAGCGCCUCGUGAAUUCAUCUCCGGGGGUAGAGCACUGUUUCGGCAAGGGGGUCAUCCCGACUUACCAACCCGAUGCAAACUGCGAAUACCGGAGAAUGUUAUCACGGGAGACACACGGCGGGUGCUAACGUCCGUCGUGAAGAGGGAAACAACCCAGACCGCCAGCUAAGGUCCCAAAGUCAUGGUUAAGUGGGAAACGAUGUGGGAAGGCCCAGACAGCCAGGAUGUUGGCUUAGAAGCAGCCAUCAUUUAAAGAAAGCGUAAUAGCUCACUGGUCGAGUCGGCCUGCGCGGAAGAUGUAACGGGGCUAAACCAUGCACCGAAGCUGCGGCAGCGACACUGUGUGUUGUUGGGUAGGGGAGCGUUCUGUAAGCCUGUGAAGGUGUACUGUAAGGUAUGCUGGAGGUAUCAGAAGUGCGAAUGCUGACAUAAGUAACGAUAAAGCGGGUGAAAAGCCCGCUCGCCGGAAGACCAAGGGUUCCUGUCCAACGUUAAUCGGGGCAGGGUGAGUCGACCCCUAAGGCGAGGCCGAAAGGCGUAGUCGAUGGGAAACAGGUUAAUAUUCCUGUACUUGGUGUUACUGCGAAGGGGGGACGGAGAAGGCUAUGUUGGCCGGGCGACGGUUGUCCCGGUUUAAGCGUGUAGGCUGGUUUUCCAGGCAAAUCCGGAAAAUCAAGGCUGAGGCGUGAUGACGAGGCACUACGGUGCUGAAGCAACAAAUGCCCUGCUUCCAGGAAAAGCCUCUAAGCAUCAGGUAACAUCAAAUCGUACCCCAAACCGACACAGGUGGUCAGGUAGAGAAUACCAAGGCGUUUGAGAGAACUCGGGUGAAGGAACUAGGCAAAAUGGUGCCGUAACUUCGGGAGAAGGCACGCUGAUAUGUAGGUGAAGUCCCUCGCGGAUGGAGCUGAAAUCAGUCGAAGAUACCAGCUGGCUGCAACUGUUUAUUAAAAACACAGCACUGUGCAAACACGAAAGUGGACGUAUACGGUGUGACGCCUGCCCGGUGCCGGAAGGUUAAUUGAUGGGGUCAGCGCAAGCGAAGCUCUUGAUCGAAGCCCCGGUAAACGGCGGCCGUAACUAUAACGGUCCUAAGGUAGCGAAAUUCCUUGUCGGGUAAGUUCCGACCUGCACGAAUGGCGUAAUGAUGGCCAGGCUGUCUCCACCCGAGACUCAGUGAAAUUGAACUCGCUGUGAAGAUGCAGUGUACCCGCGGCAAGACGGAAAGACCCCGUGAACCUUUACUAUAGCUUGACACUGAACAUUGAGCCUUGAUGUGUAGGAUAGGUGGGAGGCUUUGAAGUGUGGACGCCAGUCUGCAUGGAGCCGACCUUGAAAUACCACCCUUUAAUGUUUGAUGUUCUAACGUGGACCCGUGAUCCGGGUUGCGGACAGUGUCUGGUGGGUAGUUUGACUGGGGCGGUCUCCUCCUAAAGAGUAACGGAGGAGCACGAAGGUUGGCUAAUCCUGGUCGGACAUCAGGAGGUUAGUGCAAUGGCAUAAGCCAGCUUGACUGCGAGCGUGACGGCGCGAGCAGGUGCGAAAGCAGGUUAUAGUGAUCCGGUGGUUCUGAAUGGAAGGGCCAUCGCUCAACGGAUAAAAGGUACUCCGGGGAUAACAGGCUGAUACCGCCCAAGAGUUCAUAUCGACGGCGGUGUUUGGCACCUCGAUGUCGGCUCAUCACAUCCUGGGGCUGAAGUAGGUCCCAAGGGUAUGGCUGUUCGCCAUUUAAAGUGGUACGCGAGCUGGGUUUAGAACGUCGUGAGACAGUUCGGUCCCUAUCUGCCGUGGGCGCUGGAGAACUGAGGGGGGCUGCUCCUAGUACGAGAGGACCGGAGUGGACGCAUCACUGGUGUUCGGGUUGUCAUGCCAAUGGCACUGCCCGGUAGCUAAAUGCGGAAGAGAUAAGUGCUGAAAGCAUCUAAGCACGAAACUUGCCCCGAGAUGAGUUCUCCCUGACCCUUUAAGGGUCCUGAAGGAACGUUGAAGACGACGACGUUGAUAGGCCGGGUGUGUAAGCGCAGCGAUGCGUUGAGCUAACCGGUACUAAUGAACCGUGAGGCUUAACCUU